rnacentral:rRNA from 1 species
UCGAACGAGCCUUCGGGCUAGUGGCGGACGGGUGAGUAACGCGUGAGAAUCUGCCCUCAGGAGGGGGAUAACGGCUGGAAACGGCCGCUAAUACCCCAUAUGCCGCGAGGUGAAAUGAGAAAUCGCCUGAGGAUGAGCUCGCGUCUGAUUAGCUAGUUGGUGGGGUAAGAGCCUACCAAGGCAUCGAUCAGUAGCUGGUCUGAGAGGAUGAUCAGCCACACUGGGACUGAGACACGGCCCAGACUCCUACGGGAGGCAGCAGUGGGGAAUUUUCCGCAAUGGGCGCAAGCCUGACGGAGCAACGCCGCGUGAGGGAUGAAGGCCUCUGGGCUGUAAACCUCUUUUCUCAAGGAAGAAGAACUGACGGUACUUGAGGAAUAAGCCACGGCUAAUUCCGUGCCAGCAGCCGCGGUAAUACGGGAGUGGCAAGCGUUAUCCGGAAUUAUUGGGCGUAAAGCGUCCGCAGGCGGUCUUGAAAGUCUGUUGUUAAAGCGUGGAGCUCAACUCCAUUUCAGCAAUGGAAACUAGAAGACUAGAGUGUGGUAGGGGCAGAGGGAAUUCCCGGUGUAGCGGUGAAAUGCGUAGAUAUCGGGAAGAACACCAGUGGCGAAGGCGCUCUGCUGGGCCAUAACUGACGCUCAUGGACGAAAGCCAGGGGAGCGAAAGGGAUUAGAUACCCCUGUAGUCCUGGCCGUAAACGAUGAACACUAGGUGUCGGGGGAAUCGACCCCCUCGGUGUCGUAGCCAACGCGUUAAGUGUUCCGCCUGGGGAGUACGCACGCAAGUGUGAAACUCAAAGGAAUUGACGGGGGCCCGCACAAGCGGUGGAGUAUGUGGUUUAAUUCGAUGCAACGCGAAGAACCUUACCAGGGUUUGACAUCCUGCGAAUCUUUUGGAAACAGAAGAGUGCCUUCGGGAGCGCAGAGACAGGUGGUGCAUGGCUGUCGUCAGCUCGUGUCGUGAGAUGUUGGGUUAAGUCCCGCAACGAGCGCAACCCACGUCUUUAGUUGCCAGCAUUGAGUUGGGCACUCUAGAGAGACCGCCGGUGAUAAACCGGAGGAAGGUGUGGAUGACGUCAAGUCAUCAUGCCCCUUACAUCCUGGGCUACACACGUACUACAAUGCUACGGACAGAGGGCAGCAAACUCGCGAGAGCUAGCAAAUCCCAUAAACCGUGGCUCAGUUCAGAUCGUAGGCUGCAACUCGCCUACGUGAAGGAGGAAUCGCUAGUAAUCGCAGGUCAGCAUACUGCGGUGAAUACGUUCCCGGGCCUUGUACACACCGCCCGUCACACCAUGGAAG